rnacentral:tRNA from 1 species
GCUGAUGUAGCUCAGUAGGUAGAGCACGUCAUUGGUAAUGACGAGGUAGUCAGUUCGAAUCUGAUCAUCAGCUCCA